GCCAAGACUGGAUGCAGAGAAGCAAAUAUCUUGAAGCCAUGUGACUUUGAGGGAGUAAGAGCACCUGCCCUAUGCAAGCCUAGUUCUUUUCAGGACUUAAUGAGGGCUGAAUUCUCUUUAAGAAGCUUUAAGAAGAUACAGUGUGGGAAAGGAAAGAGAAACGCCAAGAACUGAGCAGGCUUAUAUAGCUCAACAAAGCCAAAAGCAGAGAAGAGCCUUCUUAACUCCAGAUUUGAUUCCUGGUUUGUUACAGAGACCAUCUUCCUUACCUAAAAAGUACUGAGAUUCACACAAGGGACAUCUGUCAUUUAAAGCAGCAUAUUUUAGGGACAUUGGUCACUUUUGAAUCCAGCUGCUUGUGGUUCUGUGUGAGACAAUUUCCGUGAGAUUGGAUCAAGGCUCUUUGCAGUGUCUCUGGUAGAUGGGAUAUGCAAAGGGGCACAUGGUUUAUAUAUGGUGAAGAGAAGCCCUGAAAAGAGAUGCUGCUAAAACCCUAAAAGCUGUCUCUGAAAUUCCGUCUUUUUUUUUUACUGCAUAAUUAAGCACUAUUGCUGACACAUCCUCCCUUAUGAUUCCCUUUAAGUUGGAGCAUCUGGCCGGGUGUUGCACAAGAGCCCAGUUUUCUUCUCCCUAUACAACGGAGUUUUGAUUAAUUAAUCAUUGCUUCUGUUUGAAUAAUACAUUAAAGAUGCACUUGAAUGUUCUAGGAAAAAAGUAAAAUAAAAAAAACUGCACACAAAGGGAAA